GUUCGUGUAAACAAAACGCGCUUUUGUUUCGUUUGAAAGAAAUUAAUUCUCAAAAAUAAGACAGGCUAGGCUUGUGUCGUUUUCAACAAAAUCACCCUUUCUGCUCAGUACUAGGGCGCUGCGUUCGUGGUGCUGUUUUGUUUGGCCGCUGGAAGAGGAGAACGCUACGGAAGGAGACGUCGUGAGGGAGAUCAUCAAGGUGUUCGAAGGU